GAUGAAGAACGCAGCGAAAUGCGAUAAGUAAUGUGAAUUGCAGAAUUCAGUGAAUCAUCGAAUCUUUGAACGCACAUUGCGCCCCCUGGUAUUCCGGGGGGCAUGCCUGUCCGAGCGUCAUUACAACCCUCAAGCUCAGCUUGGUGUUGGGCCCCGCCCGCUGUGGCCGGCCCUAAAGACAGUGGCGGCGCCGCCUGGCCCUCAGCGUAGUACAUCUCUCGCUCCAGGGUCCGGUGGCCGCCUGCCAGAACCCCCCAACUCUGUGGUUGACCUCGGAUCAGGUAGGGAUACCCGCUGAACUUAAGCAUAUCAAUAAGCGGAGG
rnacentral:misc_RNA from 1 species